rnacentral:tRNA from 1 species
GUCUCGAUGGCCGAGUGGUUAAGGCGUUGGACUUGAAAUCCAAUGGGAUCUUCCCGCGCAGGUUCAAACCCUGCUCGUGACG